AACCGAAGGGGCGAGGCGGGUCCGGGGGUGGUGCGCUCCAAUUGGGUGCUGUCCCCAGGGGGUGGGGCCUGAUCCCCUAUUUCCCGGCGCGCCGGGAUCCUGCCACAGCUGCUGCCCACACCGCGCUCAGCGCCUUCACUGCCAUCCCCGCUGUCCUUGCCGCCCCCGCCAUGGGCCUAGAGCUGUUUCUUGACCUGGUGUCCCAGCCCAGCCGCGCCGUCUACAUCUUCGCCAAGAAGAAUGGCAUCCCCUUAGAGCUGCGCACCGUGGAUUUGGUCAAAGGGAUGGAAAGAAAAUACUGAAUGGAGUUGACAGAGUUCUUGCGUGGAAUGCACGCAUAUAAAUUCACAAAGCCCAGAAGACCUCGGGAAGAAGGACAUACUGUUGGCAGCACAAGAGCAAGGAGUUCUUGCAGAUCAACAGCCUGGGGAAACUGCCGACGCUCAAGGAUGGUGAUUUCAUCUUGACCGAAAGCUCGGCCAUCCUGAUUUACCUGAGCUGUAAGUACCAGACGCCGGACCACUGGUAUCCAUCUGACCUGCAGGCUCGUGCCCGUGUUCAUGAGUACCUGGGCUGGCAUGCCGACUGCAUCCGUGGCACCUUUGGUAUACCCCUGUGGGUCCAGGUGUUGGGGCCACUCAUUGGGGUCCAGGUGCCCAAGGAGAAGGUGGAACGCAACAGGACUGCCAUGGACCAGGCCCUGCAAUGGCUGGAGGACAAGUUCCUGGGGGACAGGCCCUUCCUCGCUGGCCAGCAGCCGGUGGCUCUCGGCUAUGAACUGUUUGAGGGACGGCCACGACUGGCAGCAUGGCGUGGACGAGUGGAGGCUUUCCUGGGUGCUGAGCUAUGCCAGGAGGCCCACAGCAUCAUCUUGAGCAUCCUGGAACAGGCGGCCAAGAAAACCCUCCCAACACCCUCACCAGAGGCCUAUCAGGCUAUGCUGCUUCGAAUCGCCAGGAUCCCCUGAAGGGUCUGGGAUGGGGGCCAGGAGAUUAGCAACAAGGAUUCAUUCUGUUACUUACUUGCCCCUUUUUAUCUUUCCCUCUUGCCCCAGUCCCUUCUCUCCAGCUUCAUGUGAAGCUCUGCACAGACAAGACACUCAGUGUCCUUGGCAGUGCUGCUACUCCUCAGGUGCAGCAUACAUAACCAGUAAGAGACUAAAUCUGCAAUAUAUAAAGAGCUCCUACAAAUCAGUAACAUGAAGAACACUCAAAAAUUGGCAAAUGUCAUCAGUGUUUUAAACAGAAUAAAGAUUCCAAACACUUUGAAUAGAGAA